rfam:Microbacterium sp. T32 contig_19, whole genome shotgun sequence.
GGGCCUGUGGCGCAGUUGGUAGCGCGCCUCGUUCGCAUCGAGGAGGUCAGGGGUUCGAAUCCCCUCAGGUCCA